UACGUAGGGGGCGAGCGUUAUCCGGAAUUACUGGGCGUAAAGAGUGCGUAGGUGGUCAUGCAGGCGCGGCGGUCUAAGGCUACGGCCUAACCGUAGUUCGCCCCGCGAACUGCGUGACUUGAGUACAGGAGGGGAAAGCGGAACUCCUAGUGUAACGGUGAAAUGCGUAGAUAUUAGGAGGAACACCAGUGGCGAAGGCGGCUUUCUGGACUGCAACUGACACUGAGGCACGAAAGCGUGGGUAGCAAAC
rnacentral:rRNA from 1 species